GCCCGCCCGGAGGGGAAGGGAGGGGGUGUCGUCGGCGACGACGGCGUGUCGUGGGGGGGGAGACGGGCCCCGCGCCCGCCUCCCUUUCUCGGACGUCGCCGUCCCGGCCCCCCCCCACCGUGUCCCUUCCGGGGGGGGUCC